GAUGAACGCUGGCGGCGUGCCUAAUACAUGCAAGUCGAGCGAACGGACGAGAAGCUUGCUUCUCUGAUGUUAGCGGCGGACGGGUGAGUAACACGUGGAUAACCUACCUAUAGGACUGGGAUAACUUCGGGAAACCGGAGCUAAUACCGGAUAAUAUUUUGAACCGCAUGGUUCAAAAGUGAAAGACGGUCUUGCUGUCACUUAUAGAUGGAUCCGCGCUGCAUUAGCUAGUUGGUAAGGUAACGGCUUACCAAGGCAACGAUGCAUAGCCGACCUGAGAGGGGGAUCGGCCAAAAUGGAACUGAGAAAAGGUCCAGAAUCCUAAGGGAGGCAGCAGGAGGGAAUCUUUCGCAAAGGGCGAAAGCCUGAAGGAGCAAAGGCGCGUGAGUGAUGAAGGUCUUCGGAUCGUAAAAAUCUGUUAAUAGGGAAGAACAUAUGUGUAAGUAACUGUGCACAUCUUGACGGCACCUAAUCAGAAAGCCACGGCUAACUACGUG
rnacentral:rRNA from 1 species